GGGCUAUAAUUUUAUGAUUGUCUUGCUUUGAUGUAGCACAACAAUACAUCGCUCUUUUCUAUCGCUCAGAAGACAUGAAAAACGAAGAAACUGCCACCGUUUAUUCGUAAAAAUGACAACGCUUCUACAUAAUUCUUGCACGCUCUGAACAACCUAAAGAAAGGCGAAGUAUAGUUCUCCCAUGGAAACGCCAACGACACGGCGGCUAUGAGGCCACCUAAAACUGAGCAAAUAUUGUAAUUUGACAAUUCAAACAAUUGAAAUAGGUCACAGAAAGGAAAAAUUAUUCAUUCUUGUAGCUUGAUCCACUGAGAAAGGAGAAGAAAAUUGUUCUUGGGACACAAAGAUAUUUACAUAGCCACUAUCAGAAGGAAGUUCCACUUACGAUGAAAACUUUGAUUCUCUUUAUCGUGGCCAUUUUCCUGGUGUCGGCUGUGAACUCCCGUACUGUCCACGAAGACCCCGGAGAGGAAAAACGAGACGAGGGCCUGCGGACUGAUGUCACCAACGAGAAGAGAUUGGUCAUUCCUGGUCGUCCGCAUCCCUGCGACAACUGUUACUGUUCAACUGCUAUUCCUCUUAAAGGAAUAUGUAAGAGCUGCUGUUCGUAGCAUAUCAAGACCGCCAUCAGAGCACGUGGGGAUACAGUUAACUAAUUGUUGGCAUUUGUGAUAUAAGAGCAUUAAAAAGUUCAAUAAAAUGUGACAGGUUGACUUCC